GAUGUACGCUAGCGGCAGGCUUAAUACAUGCAAGUCGUGGGGCAGCAUGAGUGUAGCAAUACAUUUGAUGGCGACCGGCAAACGGGUGCGGAACACGUACACAACCUUCCUAUAAGUGGGGAAUAGCCCAGAGAAAUUUGGAUUAAUACACCGUAACGUAAUGAUGUGGCAUCACAUUAUUAUUAUAGCUUCGGCGCUUAUUGAUGGGUGUGCGGCUGAUUAGAUAGUUGGCGGGGUAACGGCCCACCAAGUCUACGAUCAGUAGCUGAUGUGAGAGCAUGAUCAGCCACACGGGCACUGAGACACGGGCCCGACUCCUACGGGAGGCAGCAGUAAGGAAUAUUGGUCAAUGGACGCAAGUCUGAACCAGCCAUGCCGCGUGAAGGAUUAAGGUCCUCUGGAUUGUAAACUUCUUUUAUCUGGGACGAAAAAAGGCGAUUCUUCGUCACUUGACGGUACCAGAUGAAUAAGCACCGGCUAACUCCGUGCCAGCCGCCGCGGUAA
rnacentral:rRNA from 1 species